CCGGCGACCGGCGCACGGGUGAGUAACACGUAUGGAACCUGCCCGCAGCAGGGGGAUAAGCGGAAGAAAUUCCGUCUAAUACCGCGUAACAACGUUGGGAGGCAUCUCCCGAUGUUUAAAGAUUUAUCGGCUGCGGAUGGCCAUGCGGCGCAUUAGCUAGUCGGUGGGGUAACGGCCCACCGAGGCGACGAUGCGUAGGGGUUCUGAGAGGAAGGUCCCCCACACUGGUACUGAGACACGGACCAGACUCCUACGGGAGGCAGCAG
rnacentral:rRNA from 1 species